rnacentral:rRNA from 1 species
GUUAGGAAUAUUGGACAAUGGGCGAAAGCCUGAUCCAGCCAUGCCGCGUGUACGAUGAAGGCCUUCGGGUUGUAAAGUUCUUUAGCCGAUGAUUAUAAUGACUGUAGUCGGAAAAUAAGCCCCGGCUAACUUCGUGCCAGCAGCCGCGGUAAUACGAAGGGGGCGAGCGUUAUUCGGAAUCACUGGGCGUAAAGCGUGCGUAGGCGGUUUUGUAAGUUAGGAGUGAAAGCCCAGGGCUCAACCUUGGAAUUGCUCUUAAAACUGCAAGGCUCGAAUCUCGGAGAGGAUAGCGGAAUUUCCAGUGUAGCAGUGAAAUGCGUAGAUAUUGGAAGGAACACCAGUGGCGUAAGCGGCUAUCUGGACGAGUAUUGACGCUGAGGCACGAAAGCGUGGGGAUCAAACAGGAUUAGAAACCCGAGUAGUCC